rnacentral:rRNA from 1 species
UACGUAGGGCGCGAGCGUUGUCCGGAAUUAUUGGGCGUAAAGAGCUCGUAGGCGGUUUGUCGCGUCUGCUGUGAAAACCUAAGGCUCAACCUUGGGCUUGCAGUGGUACGGGCAGACUAGAGUGCGGUAGGGGUGACUGGAAUUCCUGGUGUAGCGGUGGAAUGCGCAGAUAUCAGGAGGAACACCGGUGGCGAAGGCGGGUCUCUGGGCCGAUACUGACGCUGGAGGAGCGAAAGCCGUGGGAGCGAACAGGA